CCUAUAGACUGGGAUAACUUCGGGAAACCGGAGCUAAUACCGGAUAACAUUUAGAACCGCAUGGUUCUAAAGUGAAAGAUGGUUUUGCUAUCACUUAUAGAUGGACCCGCGCCGUAUUAGCUAGUUGGUAAGGUAACGGCUUACCAAGGCGACGAUACGUAGCCGACCUGAGAGGGUGAUCGGCCACACUGGAACUGAGACACGGUCCAGACUCCUACGGGAGGCAGCAGUAGGGAAUCUUCCGCAAUGGGCGAAAGCCUGACGGAGCAACGCCGCGUGAGUGAUGAAGGGUUUCGGCUCGUAAAACUCUGUUAUUAGGGAAGAACAAAUGUGUAAGUAACUGUGCACAUCUUGACGGUACCUAAUCAGAAAGCCACGGCUAACUACGUGCCAGCAGCCGCGGUAAUACGUAGGUGGCAAGCGUUAUCCGGAAUUAUUGGGCGUAAAGCGCGCGUAGGCGGUUUCUUAAGUCUGAUGUGAAAGCCCACGGCUCAACCGUGGAGGGUCAUUGGAAACUGGGAAACUUGAGUGCAGAAGAGGAAAGUGGAAUUCCAUGUGUAGCGGUGAAAUGCGCAGAGAUAUGGAGGAACACCAGUGGCGAAGGCGACUUUCUGGUCUGUAACUGACGCUGAUGUGCGAAAGCGUGGGGAUCAAACAGGAUUAGAUACCCUGGUAGUCCACGCCGUAAACGAUGAGUGCUAAGUGUUAGGGGGUUUCCGCCCCUUAGUGCUGCAGCUAACGCAUUAAGCACUCCGCCUGGGGAGUACGACCGCAAGGUUGAAACUCAAA
rnacentral:rRNA from 1 species